rnacentral:rRNA from 1 species
AUACGUAGGGUGCAAGCGUUAAUCGGAAUUACUGGGCGUAAAGCGUGCGCAGGCGGUUUUGUAAGACAGAGGUGAAAUCCCCGGGCUCAACCUGGGAACUGCCAUUGUGACUGCAAGGCUGGAGUGCGGCAGAGGGGGAUGGAAUUCCGCGUGUAGCAGUGAAAUGCGUAGAUAUGCGGAGGAACACCGAUGGCGAAGGCAAUCCCCUGGGCCUGCACUGACGCUCAUGCACGAAAGCGUGGGGAGCAAACAGGAUUAGAUACCCUGGUAGUCCACGCCCUAAACGAUGUCAACUGGUUGUUGGGGAUUUAUUUUCUCAGUAACGAAGCUAACGCGUGAAGUUGACCGCCUGGGGAGUACGGCCGCAAGGUUAAAACUUAAAGGAAUUGACGGGG